UUGCUAUGAUGAUCCAGCUUUAUUGAUGGCAUUUACAAAAUGCUUGAUGAUAUUUCGGCAAUCUUGUCGAGUCUGAGCGGUUACCUGAGCAA